CGGUAACUUAUGUAUAUUUUUGUUGUUGAAGUCUAUUAUUUUGAUUUGUCAAUAUUAAUGUAACGCUUGACUAUAAUUUUGGUUUAUUACAAGCAAGUAUGCUACUAUUAACUUUUGACUAUGUAUGUAAAUGUAAUUAGUUUUUCUUAAUUAAAGUAUUUGAUUUUAUUAUGAAAUAUCUAUCUAUCUAUCUAUUAUUAUUAUAAAAAAGAGUUUCCUCUCUCCUGGGCGUGCCACAUCAUCCACCAGGUCAGAAAGUCAAAAGUUCUGGGCGUUACACGUGUCCGCUGUGCCAAAACGUAUCGUAUCAGAUUUUUUAAAAAAGCGGUUGGGCUUUUCUUCAUAAUUAGGGUGUGCUGUUUGCUUUAGCAAGCCCAGUCCCAUAGAUCUUAUAUGUUGAAAGUUUCAUCCCUCUCUCUUCUCUGCCGUAGCGAUUCUAGGGUUGCGUUCGAGUUUCCAUCUUCUUCCUACAGAUCUAGAAAUCGUCGGUUACCGAUUCAUUCCUAUUAAAUUCCUUCAUAAAUCCUUUGUACAUGAUCUCUCUUCAAUGCCAUAUUUGCUCUUCGAAAACGGUGGAGAUUCGACUAUAAAAAGUUGUGGUUAGGUCGUUGGGUUUCUGGGAGGUGAGGAAUAUUAGGCGCGGUGAUGAACUCAUGUCUGUCCAUAUGCUUUUGCUUGAUUCAAAUGUGAGUUCCGUUUUUGAAGCAAAUGUGUCUAAGGCAAGGAGGAUGAAUUAGAGGGAGAAGAAACUGCGAUAUAGUCGGAUGGAAUUAAGACCAAAGUUUUUUUUCGUUCUCAGAAUUAGACAAAGUUGUUAUUAUUAUGUUGCUGUAUCUAUCUUUGACGGUCUUUGUGGACUAAGUUAAGAAUAAAUCUUCUGCUGGUGUGUCAAUGGUGAAUUAGACGAUGGUGCCAGCUUUUCUCCAA